AUAAAUUGGAACAAUGAAUACUGACAUUUCUCUCAUGUCUCGGAUAGUCACUGACAACGAUGGGGACACAAUGCAGACGUUGAAGUUUGGCGGUUGUCACCAGAAAGACCAUUGAAUCCUUGAAUCAAACAGUGAGCCUCCUGGCAAAGG